rnacentral:rRNA from 1 species
UGGGGAAUAUUGGGCAAUGGGGGGAACCCUGACCCAGCAACGCCGCGUGAAGGAAGAAGGUUUUCGGAUUGUAAACUUCUGUCCUUGGUGAAGAGGAAGAGACGGUAGCCAAGGAGGAAGCCCCGGCUAACUACGUGCCAGCAGCCGCGGUAAUACGUAGGUGGCGAGCGUUGUCCGGAAUUACUGGGUGUAAAGGGCGUGUAGGCGGGAGCACAAGUCAGAUGUGAAAUACCGGGGCUUAACCCCGGGGCUGCAUCUGAAACUGUGAUUCUUGAGUGUCGGAGAGGAAAGUGGAAUUCCCAGUGUAGCGGUGAAAUGCGUAGAUAUUGGGAGGAACACCAGUGGCGAAGGCGACUUUCUGGACGAUAACUGACGCUGAGGCGCGAAAGCGUGGGGAGCAAACAGG